GGGAGCGGGGCGGGCAGCUUCGGCUCGGGGGCGGCGCGGGGGAGACCGGCCGGAACCGGACAUCCCUGUGGGCCCGGAGCAGCGCGUAGCCCGCCCGCCGCCUUGUCUCCCCCGGGGGCGAGGGGGGUGUAUGCCCCUGCACUAGGAUUGGUUUUCCGUCCAGCUGUCCCAGCGCCGGGUGCUUAGGCCGGAAGGCUGUGACAGACACAGCUGGGGCACCCCAGGCUCCGAAGAUUAGGUGUGGGAAGGCUCUGGGUGAGGGCCCGCUCCGAUCCCGCUGCAGGGCCCUGGGGGCACAGGGCAAGCACGCCCUGGAUGGCGCUGGCACACUGAGCCGGCGCGGCCUGCAGCAGCACGCACAAGGCAAGGGCAGAUCCAGGUCCCUUGGUACAGUGGAAUGAGACGAAGCAUGGUGAAUGUUCUGCAAAGGCUUGGAUUUAUGAAUGGCAUCAGCUUCAGCCUCCCCAGCACACCCUUUAAGUAUGCAUGUAAGGCUGACUGCAGAGAAGAAGCAUGUGCAGCACAAGGCUGUGUUAUUUCCAUGGGCUUUACACAGACGUGGGAUUCCCUACAGGCCAAGUAGCAGGACAAAUCUGUAAUGGAACUCAAGGCUGGAAAGCUUUCUGGGAGCUCUCCCUGGAGGGGGAAGACACAGAUUUUGUGUCUUCCUCUGUGCUGCACAUGCAAACCAUGGUGACAGUUGGGGUAAUGGCUUUCCAAGGCAGACACAAGAAAUUAGCCCAACUGAAUAGCAUGCCUCAGUGAGCAUCUGAACCAGGGAUAUAAUUUUUAAUAAAUCAUUUACUUCAAAAGAUUAA